rnacentral:lncRNA from 1 species
AAAGCUUGGCUGAAAAAUCAGUAGUGCUGCUACAGCAGCUGAGAUUUCCACUUGUUGCAAACAGAGAUGAAGUUGGGAUGGCCACGUACACAGGAAGCCCAAGGGGACCUGCAUCUCACCCUGGGUGAUGCUGACUGCAGGCCACAGCCAGGAACAGAGCCCUGCUUUUCACCAUGACCACAGGAACAGUUCCCAGGAGAGGCUGGUGACAGUGGGUGCCACAGAGAGGCGAAGACACCACACCUUCCAUGGGAAUGCAGUUUGUCCCUGCCCACUGCUCUGCCUUGAGGGCUCCCUUCCGAGGAGGAGGAAAGAAGGAGCUCCAGGAGGGAAGAUUGCCUGGCCUUGAAAGGACUUUUCCAGGAUGGAAAUGUUGUGCACAGCUGUACUUUUGUGGUUGCUAAAUGAAGGGGAAAAUAUACAAACAGGCAGGCACACUCACACAGAUGUUCUGCAGGGAACCUUUACACACCCCUCUGCUCUGAAAACACAUUACCACUCUUCCCCUUUCACUUACAGAAAAAUCUU